GGGGCCAUUGAAUGCUUGAAUCUGAUUGGCUGACGAACGUCCUGAGGUGUGCAAUUAUUUUCUGGGAAAUGCACGGCGAACGUAGUUACAGAAAGCUUUCUUGACCGCAUUACAGUUCCACAUCACUUCCUGUAGUUAACGGUAACAACGGUCACGCAGUUUGCACAGAAAGGUGUUGUCAGCGCUGCCCUGGCGAUUUUAUCAGUUAGCAACUUAAAAGCUACACAUGACAUUUCUCACUAGCGAGGAGACAGCAAACAGGCUUCACAGCUUGUCAUUCCAGAAACAGAGAUCCGCUGAGGAGGACUGUGGCAUCAGUGCAGAGCCAUGAUCUUCUUCCCCUCCUCCAUCAGCCAUCAGGACAGGGGGAGUAGGGGGUGGCCGGUGUGGGGGGAGGAGCUCUUUUGUCCUGAGCGGGGUUAUGGCUAAUCUAAAGACCUGUGAUGGACGCCUCUCUGGCGGCACAGGCCGCUGGACUCCACCCCUGAGAGGAGUGGGGAGGAUGGGGGAUCACGUGAGAGGGCACGGGGGAGGGUGGAAGGCGGAGGAGGAGGAGGGAAGGUCAUUAGUCAGCAUGGAAAAAAGGAGAACAGCAGGACACAGUGCCACACAUUACAGCCCCACCACCUCCUGCAUUGUCCUCCCUCACAGGCCAAUUGACUGCUGGAGGAUCCACCGAGUUAAGUGUCUAAUCUCUUACGAGGGGGCUGGAGCUCCUCUCUUGUCACGGUAAUCCAGAGUUUGGUGCAGCUCCAUCAAAAGUGACCUUUACUGCUCAGCGUGGCAUCACAGCAACAGACACCUGCUGUUCCAGUCCUCGAAGAGCCGCUAGGCCAUCAAACCACACGGCUCUCGCAGCAGACACCCUCGAAGAACUUCCUUUGUGAUUUAGAAAGGCAUUUACUGCCGUGGUUGUUCUGAAGAGUGCAGUAAAAGGUUAAAAGGAAACUUGAUGUGGCAUUGUUGAGCGCACUGGUUAGUGUUUGGAUGUGGAUUCUUCACCGUCUCAGUAGAGCGUCUCUGUGCAGGCAGCAGACAGAACUCAGACGCAGUCCAGACUCCAGACUCACUCGCGGCUGGGUUUGUGUUUCAGGCUGAUAAGAGAUGCAGCUGGAGGGGAACCAGCCUCACUUGGCCAAAGACAACGGCAGAAGAUGCCAGAACACAGGAACAGAUGAAUGGGGUCAAAUGCAAAGCAGUAAAAAACAAAGAAAACUACCAAGAUGUUUUAUUCUAAGAAGUCUAUUCCGAGCUUCCCAACAGGAUUUGCGCAAAUAUUUUACUUUGGACAAAUGAUGCCCCAAAGCCAUUAAAAAUAGUGUAUUGCAUGAAAAAAUAUAUAUUAAAAAAGUACAUAAAAUUAAUCAUUAAAAUGUAUUAAUAUUCCCAUGAGCUACAUAAACCAUAAUUUGCAUUAAAAUGGCAUAGGCUGAAAAACUGGCUUUUUUCAAUUUUAUAUUGUCUUGACAGUUUGAGUAUUUGGUUUGUUAACAUGUCUUGAAUUUAGAUUCAAGAUUGAAUUUCAUGCUCUCUGUAGUCAAUAAUUCACCUUUACAAAAC